rnacentral:lncRNA from 1 species
CACAUUUACAGAACACGCAUGACUUGCCAGUGAACUUGGCCGCUACAUGGCCGUACCAACUGCUUUCUCUGUACUUCACACUCGUAACAAUAAGGUGCACGAGCUUUCAUUCACGAGUCACUCCCUACGCCUAAAUGCACGUUUACAGAACACGCAUGACUUGCCAGUGAACUUGGCCGCUACAUGGCCGUACCAACCGCUUUCUCUGUACUUCACACUCGUAACAAUAAGGUGCACGAGCUUUCAUUCACGAGUCACUCCCUACGCUUAAAUGCACAUUUACAGAACACGCAUGACUUGCCAGUGAACUUGGCCGCUACAUGGCCGUACCAACUGCUUUCUCUGUACUUCACACUCGUAACAAUAAGGUGCACGAGCUUUCAUUCACGAGUCACUCCCUACGCUUAAAUGCACGUUUACAGAACACGCAUGACUUGCCAGUGAACUUGGCCGCUACAUGGCCGUACCAACUGCUUUCUCUGUACUUCACACUCGUAACAAUAAGGUGCACGAGCUUUCAUUCACGAGUCACUCCCUACGCUUAAAUGCACAUUUACAGAAUACGCAUGACUUGCCAGUGAACUUGGCCGCUGCAUGGCCUAGU